CGGCAACAGCUCAAAUUUGAAAUCUGGCCUCGGCCCGAGUUGUAAUUUGCAGAGGAUGCUUCGGGCGCGGUGCCUACUGAGUUCCCUGGAACGGGACGCCGUAGAGGGUGAGAGCCCCGUACGGUAGGACGCCUAGCCUGUGUGAAGCUCCUUCGAC
rnacentral:rRNA from 1 species